CUGACCAUGUUUCAUGUUUGCCUGACACUUUUCCACUUGCAGAGUGCUUUUUACUCUGUUUUGUCCUUUUGACAACUGUGAGAGGCAGGCCCAGCAGUUAGGAUUCUCCCCUUUAGCAGUUGAAGUUAUUGAGGCUCAGGGAGGGGAGGAGUCGUGUCCUCGUCACAGAAGAAAGCUGGAAUGGGGCCUCGGGUUUCUGGACCACACAGGCCAGUGCUGUUUCUUUGCUGUGCUUUAUCCCCUCCACCCACCCCUGCACACCACUGUUCUCGCCUCUGUCCACAUUUUGCGGUGUGGGCUG
rnacentral:lncRNA from 1 species